UAUUUAUUUUUUUGGGUAAGAGCAAGUAGAUUUUUCUGUAUUGCUCUGUAGCACAAUAAUGUGAGAUAAAUAUAUCGUGUAGGAUGAGCUACACAAAAGAGUUAAUGCUUUCUCAUUAGAUACAGUAACCUAACCAUAUGCAAAGCUAAAAAUGGCUUUGAGGUGAUUACUGCCUCCAGAAUCUGCCAAGGAACCAGAUGUCAUUGGUGGAAAAAUACAACAACCUCAGCCACCUACUAUGCUUUAGCCUUUGACAAAUAGCAGGCACCAAUUCAUCAGUCACUUUCUAGCUAACUCUUUGUGUUGUAUUAAUUGUUUCUUAAUCCUGCUGUGUAUUUUAUUUAAUCUCCUUCUUAUACUGAUUUACUCUGUCACACACCUGUCCAAUGAUUUUAAAAAUGAUAAUUUGCAAAAGGAUUCCUUUGACAAUAACUACUGUGUUUAAAAACUGUGACUUGGUGGGGUUUAUUUUAUGCCUGGAACCCAACAAAGUUUCUUCCAACUUGAUUUGGCAGUCCAAAAAAAAUAUCUUAAAAUAAGGAGAUUGUCUUGCAAGUAUACAGUGACAGAAAUAGCCUAGGGAGAUGUUUUUGCCUUGAGAUAUUUGUUUUUGAAAUGCAGGUUUCAGGAAUGCAAACCAUAUUUUCUUGACUGCUACAUUUUCUUUAAGAGAUAUCCUUCAGGUUUCCGUGUUAAUAGAGUUUCAAGAAACUUAUAGAUUUUUUUUCUCUCUCUUCAUAGAAUCAUAGAAUUAUUUAGGUUGGAAAAUACCUUUGAGAUCAUCAAGUCCAACCGUUAACCUGGCACUACCAAAUCCACCACUAAACCAUGUCCCUAAGCAACACAUCUACACAUCUUUUAAAUACUUUCAGGGAUGCCAACUCAAUCUCUUCUCUGGGCAGCCUGUCCCAAUGCUUGACAACCCCUUCUGUGAAGAUACUUUUCCUAAUAUCCAACCUAAACCUCCCCUGGUGCAACUUGAGGCUGUUUCCUCUUGUCCUAUUGCUUGUUACUUGGGAGAAGAGACCAACACCCUCCAUGCUACAACCUCCUUUCAGGUAGCUGUAGGGAGCAAUAAAGACUCCCCUGAGCCUCCUUUUCUCCAGGUUAAACAGCCCCAGAUCCCUCAACUGCUACUCACAGUGCUUGUGCUCCAGACCCUUCACCAGCUUCGUGUACCUUCUCUGAACUCUCUCUGGCACCUCAAUGUCUUUCUUGUAGUGAGGGGCCUAAAACUGAACACAUUAUUCAAGGUGUGGCCUCACCAGUGCUGGGUACAGGGGGCUAUCACUUCCCUCGUCCUGCUUGCCACACUGUUCCUGAUAUAAGCCAGGAUGCUGUUAGCCUUUUGGCCACCUGGGCACGCUUCUGGCUCAUAUUCAGCUGACUGUUGACCAACACCCUGAGGUCCUUUUCUGUCAGGCAGCUUUCCAGCCACUUUUCCCCAAGCCUGUAUUGCUGCCUGGGGUUGUUGUGACCCAAGUGUAGGAUCAGGCACUUGGCUUUGUUGAACUUCAUACAACUGGCCUUGGCCCAUCUAUCCAGCUAGUCCAGAUCCCUCUGUAUGGCCUUCCUACCCUUCAGCGGAUCAACACUCCUACCCAACUUGGUGUUGUCUGCAAACUUACUGAGGGUGCACUCAGUCUCCUGGUCCAGAUCAUAGAUCUGUUGUGCCACAAAUGUUGUUGGUCUGUGGACAGUGUGUGAAGAAAAGUAUGUUUUGAAUGGUAAUGGUUACAGCCUGCUGCCAUAGCUUUGAAAUAGCCUAGGAACAAGAAUUCUCAGGUCUUAUGGAAGUCUAUAUGUAUGUAUUUGUUUUCUUCGUAAAUCACUCUAUUCCCUUUUUUAGCCACAUGUUUGUUUUCUCAGUGAAAAAUCACAAUACCUUUAACUACUGAUCCCUUAAAAAGAAAGGACCACUGAUACACAGAUUGCAUUUUUUUUUUUUCCCUUUCAGUUAUGAAGCAAAGGAAGAGAAGGAAAAAAAUUGUAUUUUGUAUAAACAAAAUGUAUUCUGAGGGAAAGGUUUUUGCAACAUUGCCCAUAAACUUGUGCUUGGUUUUGUCACUUGGUGUUUGUUUCUCCUCAGAAUUUCUGAGACCCUGUUAUCACAAUAUCUGAAUACAUGUCCAUCUUGUAACACAUUUAUUCUCAUUUCUUUGCCAUGUCUUAAAGCAGUACCACUGGAGAGCUGAGUGAAGAGGCUGAAAUUCAUGCCAACUAUCUGGAGGGGGAGCAACAGACCUUCUGAGGGAGAUGGGGCUCAUUGAAGGAAGAAAAGGGAGGUAGUCACAGUCCUUAUCUGCAUGAAGUUGAGGCUGGUGGAAGUCAAAACAGCUGAUGAGCUUUAUACGGCCUCUUUGGAGGGUAAAGAAGGAAGUUGGUAAGCGUGAAGGAGUUGCCAAGGAAGAAUUAAUUCAGAACUGCUCAUGUUAUCAGGGACGACCACAGCUGUAUAUACUCCAGUUAGCACCUCAUUUGCUAUGGAGACAGUUUCCUGCAAGCCAUGGUCAUGACCUCUUCUCUACCCAAGGAGGAUGCGUGAUGCUUGAUGAUUCCAUGAUGGAUCCCACAUCAGUCACAGACACAGAUGUACGGCCACUUCCGUACCUGGCUCCUAGGCCACUUGUUCUACUUAGUGUCUAGCCUGGAUGACUAUUUACUAGCUAUCACACCCUGACAUAGAUGUUGCCACAUGCUGCAGUUGCUGGCACCACAGGCAUGCAGAUACUUAUGGCCCAUGAUUGCAGCGCUCAGACACCCAUACACAUGCACAAAUGCUCACAAAAUAGAGAUCCUCUCAGCCAGGAAGAUGGUUAGAAAUGAAAUUUCCUGUAAUAACUCUUCUGUAAUCCCAAAACACUCUUCCUGCUACCACAUAACACAUCCUAUAUACCCUAGGCAAUAACCCUCCUGCAGUCUGUAAGAUGCUCCAGCUUUCUGUUCCUGCCUUUUUAAGGUGCUGUGUAAGGCUUUCAGCCCAUGGGGCUGAUGACCCAGGAUGAGCUG